GUUUCAUGAAGAGUGGCUGAGGGACGAGCCCUGCGACGCCACGACAACCGGACGAGUCUGUACCGGUGUCACCUCUCUCCUGGGCAACAGGGAACAUGAGAU
rnacentral:ncRNA from 2 species